ACAGUCCAGGAAUGCGGUGGUGAAGAGUUGGACACGACUGAGUGACUAACAUUUAGAGUUUCAGGGUAAAGGGGGUCAGUCAGAACCUAGAUCUCUGGGCUCAGAUUCACUGCCCCGCGGAGCUGGGGGCCCAGGCUCACGGCUGAUCUCUGUGGUGGCUGGACAGAGAGUGAUGCACUGCUGGGCAGCUUCUCCUCACCUUGGGAGGCCAGCUUUGUCACUGUCGUUCCUGCCAACCCCUGGGUGCCCACUUGGAAACUGCAGAGGAACCGAGGCCUGUGCUUGGAGCCAGCUGCCACGCCAGGAGGAUGUGGAGCAACCCCAGGCAGAGGUCUCCCUGGGACAAGCUCCGGCCAGAAACCUGGGGAACUUUGCCAGGGUGACUGAGCCACUUGGAGGUGGGUCCUCCAGCCCCAGUCAAGCCUGCCGUGACACCGCCCGGGCUGACACCUGCCUGCAGCCUCAUGAGAUACCCUGAGCAGGGACCUUCCAGCAGAGCCACUGUCUGCUUCUUCCUUGGUUCCACAAACUGUGUGGAACUAUAUAUGCUUAUUGUUUCAGUCUCUGGAACAUGUUCCAAACACUCUGGGACUGAUCCCGUCAACCCUUCCUCCAGACACCCCAGGACUGACCUCAUCAAUUUGUGUUUCAGACACAAGGACUGACCUCAUCAAACCAUUCCCUGACAUCCAGUAAUUACCUCAUACCUUUUUCCAGAUACACCAGGAAACAGCCUCUUCAAGAGGUGUUACAGACACCCCAGUAUUGACCUCAUCAUGCCUUUUUCCAGACACCCCAUGAUAGACCUCAUCAAGCCUUUCUCUAGACACCCCAGGACUAACCUCCUCAAUGGGUGUUCCAUACAACCCAAGACUUUCCUCCUUAAGUGUGAAAAGACACCCCAGGAUUGACCUCAUCAAGCCUUCUCCAGACACCUCAGGACUGACUUCAUCAAGUCUCCAGAUGCUACAGGAAUGACCUCAACAAUCUGUGUUUCAGACACAAGGACUGACCUCAUCAAGCCAUUUCCUAACACCCCAGGAGUGACCUCAUCAAGCCUUUUUCCAGACACCCAGGAAUGACCUCAUCAAGCCUUAUUACAGACACCUGAGGACUGAUCUCAUAACGUCUUUUCCCAGAAAACUUGUGAAUGACCUCACCGAACCUUUUUCCAAGCUCCCCUGGACUGACCUUAUCAAGGAGUAAUCCAGACACUCCAGGACGGACCUUCUCAAGGUCUUUUCUUGAAACCCCAGGACCUAUGUUGUAGGUCCCCAGCUGCAAACUCUCACUCCUCUCAGUAGUUGAUUUCCUCGCCUCCCAUGAGAAAGGACAAGACCAUCUAAGAAAGAAGAAAUAAGACUGCUACCAAGCAGGGUCUUUGGACUCUUUAAUCAAUAGGAAUUGAUCAGAAGGCAGAGGACUGAAUUCAGGGAAGGUUUAAUAAAGCAGGGGCCUCUGCUGCAGCAGAGAGAAAACAAGUAACAGGUGUCCUUGCUGUUCCUUGAGGUGGUGAGCUGCCCCCUUAAUUAGGGUGGAGUUCAGGGUUGUUCCAGGGGUCAUGAUGGCAUGAGGAUUAGGUGGUCUGCCUGCCCCCUUGUUGGUACCGUGUGCAGGGAUCAGGCACAGAACCCUGCUUUCACCCCUGGCACCUCAGAAGAGGCAGCUGGGUUUUGGCUCUCUGUAUCUUGUUGAGAAUUUGCCCCGACUGUGUAUGCAGUUAUUUUUAGUCCCUUAUAGUUUUUUUGUAUCUGUUGCUUGGGAAGAAGUUUGUCCAGGUGCAAACACUUCACAAAGGGCCCAGGUCCCAGCUUGUCUUAAAACCAGAAUUUAUCCCAUGGCAAAUGUGCUGCUUAUAUAGCUGCAUUUAAACUUGAUGGCGACCUUGUGAGAGGCAAGCUGUUAUCAUCCCCGUUUACAGGCUUCCCUGGUGGCUCAUAUGGUAAAGAAUCUGCCUGCAAUGCUGGAGACUGGGGUUCAGUCCCUAGGUUGGGAAGAUCCCCUGGAGAAAGGAAUGGCAACCCACCCUAGUAUUCUUGCCUGGAGAAUCCUGUGAACAGAGGACCCUGGCUGGUUACAGUCCACGGGGUUGUGAAGAGUCGGGUACGACUGAGGGAGAUGAGAACAGGGUCCAUUAUCUUAAGCAACGUGCCAGGCUCACAAAACAAGGACAUGUAAGACCAUCACUGAGAGCAGUGUUGCCUGCUUCCAGGCCUUCUGUUACCAAACACAAAUCCUGUGUCCAACAGGUCCCAAGGAUGUGCAGCGUCAGCAGCAGAGACCAGAAAGGCUGUUAAAGGACCCACAGACCCUCAAACUUCUGGAAGCUCCUGGACGACUGCUCAGGGUUCAUGAGGACUUGGAAGAGUGACAGAGUUUUAAUCCACAUCCUGAAGACCUCCUACUUUUAAAAAUAAGCCUAAAUAUCAGACUAUUGAGAAUGGAGGAAGACAGCAUUUUCAUUUCCCGGCUGCCCUGUGUGCCGGUGAGAAGAAGGUGCACCUGGCUCUAUGAGGGCCACCCCGCUGUUCCCGGAGGGGUGGCUGAGGAUCAGCCAGGUAGCUCUGCAGGCAUAGGAGAUGCUCGGGAGGAUCACAGCCAAUUCUGAGGUCUUCUCUGAUAAUAACACCAGUUUAAUUACAGUCCAGAGUGUAAAUUCCAGUUUGCUUAUAUUUCUAGUAUGUUUCAUUUCAAAUGUGACUUUCCAGCUCCUUCUCUCUCCUUUUUUUCUCUCCGUGCCAUAAAAUAUUUGCAUAUUUGAAUGUCAAAUUCUCCAAGUGCUGGAAGCAACAGGCCCUGGUAUGUUCUUGAGUUAUUUUGUACAGCAGCAUCUGUCUUGUUUCAGCAGCCACCAGAACUGAGAAAUGACCCAAGAGCAGCCUGCCAGGAAGAUGGAGGGUGGGAUCCAAGUGGGAGGGGGGUCCCUCUGAAAUGGAGCCCAUCGGGACUGGGGCCCUGCUAGUCCAGGCAGCUUCAGAACAGAGGUUUCCCCAGCUUAUUUUUAUUUAUUUAUUCAUUUUAAAAGAAAGGCAGAUUACCAGAGGAAACAAAUACUGAAUGACGGCUACAGAAUGUAUCUUUGGAACUUGCUAGACUAAUUACGGAAGCUCCAAAAUCACUUUAAGAGCAACACAUUUUGUUUUGCAAUAUACAUUCUUGUUGCCAAGAUUUUUGGGGGGGAAUUUCAAUCAGAGUCCAUCUCAAA